AUACGUAGGUGGCAAGCGUUAUCCGGAAUCAUUGGGCGUAAAGGGUGCGUAGGUGGCGUACUAAGUCUGUAGUAAAAGGCAAUGGCUCAACCAUUGUAAGCUAUGGAAACUGGUAUGCUGGAGUGCAGAAGAGGGCGAUGGAAUUCCAUGUGUAGCGGUAAAAUGCGUAGAUAUAUGGAGGAACACCAGUGGCGAAGGCGGUCGCCUGGUCUGUAACUGACACUGAGGCACGAAAGCGUGGGGAGCAAAUAGGAUUAGAUACCCUAGUAGUCCACGCCGUAAACGAUGAGAACUAAGUGUUGGAGGAAUUCAGUGCUGCAGUUAACGCAAUAAGUUCUCCGCCUGGGGAGUAUGCACGCAAGUGUGAAACUCAAAGGAAUUGACGGGGGCCCGCACAAGCGGUGGAGUAUGUGGUUUAAUUCGAAGCAACGCGAAGAACCUUACCAGGCCUUGACAUGGAAACAAAUACCCUAGAGAUAGGGGGAUAAUUAUGGAUCACACAGGUGGUGCAUGGUUGUCGUCAGCUCGUGUCGUGAGAUGUUGGGUUAAGUCCCGCAACGAGCGCAACCCUUGUCGCAUGUUACCAGCAUCAAGUUAGGGACUCAUGCGAGACUGCCGGUGACAAACCGGAGGAAGGUGGGGAUGACGUCAAAUCAUCAUGCCCCUUAUGGCCUGGGCUACACACGUACUACAAUGGCGACCACAAAGAGCAGCGACUUGGUGACAAGAAGCGAAUCUCAUAAAGGUCGUCUCAGUUCGGAUUGAAGUCUGCAACUCGACUUCAUGAAGUCGGAAUCGCUAGUAAUCGCAGAUCAGCAUGCUGCGGUGAAUACGUUCUCGGGCCUUGUACACACCGCCCGUCAAACCAUGGGAGUCAGUAAUACCCGAAGCCGGUGGCAUAACCGUAAGGAUGUGAGCCGUCGAAGGUAGGACCGAUGACUGGGGUU
rnacentral:rRNA from 1 species